CGAUUAUUUGGUCAUAGUAAAAAGUUGCCGGCCUCUAAUUGAGAGAUAUGGUAUUUUUUGAGAAUUUGGGAAGACAGUCGAACGUGGCGAAUUAAAAGUGCAGCAGGACUGCUUAUCAAAUAUUAUAGUAAGAACUUUAAUGCUAUGUCAGGUUUAAGACAAGUGUUUCAUAUAGUUUGGAAUUCCUAAGUAAUAUUCCCCAACUCCAAUACUGAGAUUUAUCAAAUAAAGAAAUUUAGAAUCAGAACAUGAGGGGGAAAGGGAGGAAAUAAAGUGCCAGCACCUGCGGUUAAACUUUUCCCUUUGGUAAAUUAAGACGUAGUGAAGUAACAAUUUAUUAAUUAGGAGUACAACCCAUCAGUUUUGGUUGAAUAUAAAAUCUGGGGUAAGGGUUUCACAUUCCUAAAAAUUUCACUCUUAUAAACCUGUUAUAAAAACCUGGGAUAGAUAUCCAGCUAUUUAAGGCUCGAAAUAAGACUGCGGCGACUACGAACGUAACGAGUUUAAAAGUUAAAGGACUUGGCGGUGCAUCAUAUCCUGUUAGGGGAACUUGGCGGUUAAACCGAUGAUCCUCGUAUUACUUUACCCCUUCUUUCUUCCUAUACCGCCGUUUAGCCUCACCUUGACGGAGUUGAGUAUGGCAAUUAAAAUAAGAAGAAGUUAACUCGCUUAGAAGUUAAAAACUAUGGGAAUAAAAUGUUUCGAUAUUUCUAGUAAUUCAGGUAGACGUGGGGGGUAUGAAGGGGGCUUAGCUGAGUUACAUUUUUAAAAGAAGGCGGAUUUAAUAAUUGAAAUAGAGUAAUAAAGUUGGACUUAAUAGUAAAACUCCAUAAGAGAGAGGGUUUGAAUAGUGUUUUGAUGCGCGUACAAACCGCCCGGUGCUCCCGUAUAUACUGAAGAUGGGAUAAGCCGUAACAUGGCAGUGCUACCGGAAGCUGGUGCUAUACAAGU
rnacentral:ncRNA from 2 species